rnacentral:rRNA from 1 species
GGGGGAGUAACUACUGGAAACGGUAGCUAAUACCGCAUAAUGUCGCAAGACCAAAGUGGGGGACCUUCGGGCCUCAUGCCAUCAGAUGUGCCCAGAUGGGAUUAGCUAGUAGGUGGGGUAAUGGCUCACCUAGGCGACGAUCCCUAGCUGGUCUGAGAGGAUGAUCAGCCACACUGGAACUGAGACACGGUCCAG